rnacentral:tRNA from 2 species
GGGGGUAUAGCUCAGUUGGUAGAGCGUUGGCUUUGCAAGCCAAAUGUCAGCGGUUCGACUCCGCUUAUCUCCA